rnacentral:rRNA from 1 species
UACGGAGGGGGCAAGCGUUAUCCGGAAUUACUGGGUGUAAAGGGAGCGUAGACGGUAAUGUAAGUCUGGAGUGAAAGGCGGGGGCCCAACCCCCGGACUGCUCUGGAAACUAUUGAACUUGAGUGCAGGAGAGGUAAGCGGAAUUCCUAGUGUAGCGGUGGAAUGCGUAGAUAUUAGGAGGAACACCAGAGGCGAAGGCGGCUUUCUGGACAUUAACUGACGCUGAGGCUCGAAAGCGUGGGGAGCAAACAGG